rnacentral:rRNA from 1 species
AGCGAACGCUGGCGGCAGGCUUAACACAUGCAAGUCGAGCGGGCACUUUCGGGUGUCAGCGGCGGACGGGUGAGUAACGCGUGGGAACGUGCCCUCUGGUUCGGAAUAACUCAGGGAAACUUGAGCUAAUACCGGAUACGCCCUUUUGGGGAAAGGCUUGCUGCCGGAGGAUCGGCCCGCGUCUGAUUAGCUAGUUGGUUAGGUAACGGCUCACCAAGGCGACGAUCAGUAGCUGGUCUGAGAGGCUGAUCAGCCACACUGGGACUGAGACACGGCCCAGACUCCUACGGGAGGCAGCAGUGGGGAAUAUUGGACAAUGGGCGCAAGCAUGAUCCAGCCAUGCCGCGUGAGUGAUGAAGGCCUUAGGGUUGUAAAGCUCUUUUAUCCGGGACGAUAAUGACGGUACCGGAGGAAUAAGCACCGGCUAACUUCGUG